rnacentral:lncRNA from 1 species
CUGCCAGGAUGCAACAAACACAUUGGUUUGGAUGGACACAAAAUCCAUUUCUGGUGUGUGCAGUGCAAGUGUGGAGGAAUUCCUGUUGGCCUGAACCAUCUGCUCUCCUGUGAGCACCUGACACUGCACAGAGCCAAAGCUGCCAUGGCCUCUGCUGUGCCCAACAAGGAGGAGGUGGCCCAGAGCUCCCCAGAGGAGGAGCAGGAGGUUGGUGCUCCCUGUGGGAUGUGAGGAGGUGGUCCUGCUGUGGCUGAGGGGAGCUGAG